CUCUCUCUCUCUCUCUCUCUCUCUCUCUCUCUCUCUCUCUCUCUCUCUCUCUAUCUCUGUCUCUCUCUCUCUCUGUCUCUCUCUCUGUCUCUCUGUCUCUCUCUGUCUCUGUCUCUCUGUCUCUCUGUCUCUCUGUCUCUCUCUCUCUCUCUCUCUCUCUCUCUCUCUCUCUCUCUCUCUCUCUCUCUGUCUCUCUCUCUCUCUUUCUCUUUCUCUCUCUCUCACUGGGGAACUUUUAGUGGCAUUUGGCGUGCUUGAGGUUUUCCUGGGAGGAGCUCUGUAGCAUGGAUUAGAAUUAUUAGUAAAUCAUUAUCCUCUUCCUGGAGCUGUUUACAAGGAGACAGAAUUCAAAGCAGAGCUAAGCAUGCGGGAUAGGAAGAAAGAAAAUAUCAUGGAUAUGUUUCCCAAAGAAAGACCUAGAGGUGACUGUGAGGAAAGAAGAAGAAUACCCAUAUAGGAGAAGAGGAAAAGAACAUAGUGGAAUGUAUUACAAGAAGAUGGCUGGGACCAGAGAGUUGGGUAGGUAGCAUAUGAAAUAUGAACUGAUUCUGGGUCAUUGAAGUGAUCUAUAUGAAACUUCAUUCAUUCCUUAAUCAGGAAAGCAGCUUGCUAAGGUGGGCUGCCCUGGGUGGGAGACCCAAAGUUAAGCACUAGAGUCAAAUAUGCUACUGCCC